rnacentral:lncRNA from 13 species
AUGGCCGGGUGUGGGACCUCAGCGUCCAGUGCAGCAGCAUCCUCCUGGCCCAAGACUUUGCUCCAGCACAUUCUCACUGAUGCUGAGUCGAACAGGCUUGGGGCUCAUGGCCCUGACCUUGGAGCUGAACCAUGUGACCCUCAUCUACUCCAGCCUUUAGGCAUAUUUGCUGGCCUUCUGGACACCAACGACAAUGAAGCAGGCACUGAUCUGAUGUUGCCAGACAGCUCUGUGGCUCACAGCCUGGAGGAGCUCAGCCUGGCCUGGCAGGUGGAUGGUGACUGCAGGGCCACCGAGAAGCCUGAACCGACCUGCCCAGGACAGAGCCCCACCUGCCGGGCCUUCUUCCAGGACCCCUCAUCCAGCUUGGGGAACUGCUUCCGGGUGGUGAGUGUGAGCCUGUGCCCUGGGGCACAGCAAGCUCUUUCCCCAGUCUACCCUGGGGAUUGGCAUGGAGCAGAGGCCUAGGCUAGAGACAGUGACUGGGCAUCCCUGAUUUCAGAUGGAGCCUGCAUCAUUCCUUAGCCUUUGUGUGCAGGACUCCUGUGGCACCUGGGAGCUCCAGCCUGCCUGCACUCUGGCAGCCACCUAUAUCCACCUCUGUGCCUGCAGCUUUGUGUCCCUGGCCCUCCUCCACAGUGCGGUCAAGUGCCCCAGCCGGCUGGCAUCUGCCUUCCAGCUGGAGGGAAAACCCUUCUCUCUCUCUCUCUCUCUCUCUCAUCAGAAAGAACAAAUAAUUGUCAUUUAAGUAGCUAAGAGUCUAAACAAAUAAUUUAAGGCCUGAUACAGCCUGGAUGUGUCUCCUCCAAAUCUCAUGUUUAUUAGAGGGUAUACAUCCCUCAUGGAUGGCUUAGCAUCCUGUGUUUGGUGAAGUGUGAGUUCUUGCUUUAUUCGUUCACCUGAAAGCAGUUUGUUUAUAAAGAGCCUGGCCUCUCCUCUCUCUCUUUGCACCCACUCCCAUUUCUGCAAUGAUCGUAAGCUUCCCAAGGCCUCACCAGAAGGCAAGCAGAUGCUGGAGCUGUGCUUGUACAGCCUGUAGAACUGUGAGUCAAUCAUAUCUCUUAUUUACGAUCUACCCAGGCUGGAGCGUAGUGGCACAAUCUCACCUCACUGCAACUUUCACCUCCCAGAUUCAAGCAAUACUCCUCCCUCAGCCUCCCAAAAAUACCGGCAGGUAUUUUUGUAGAGAUGAUGUUUUUCUAAGUUGUCCAGGCUGGUCAUGAAUUUCUGACCUCUGGUGAUCCACCUGCCUCGGCCUCCCAAAGUGCUGGAUGACAGGCGUGAACCACCAUGCCCAGCCUCAUGAGGGAUUUGAAUGUCCACUAUCGUUUAGGAAAAAUGCUCAGCCCCUGUUUUCCCUCUGCUCUCCUACUUCAAAAAUCAUCAUCAACACAGAAGAUGACUUCGGUGAACAAACAUGUGGGGAUUCGUCUCCACUACCAGGGCGGACCUCUAAUUCAGUUCUGACACUAGCUACCUUGAGAUCCUUCAUCCAGCGCUGCAUACAAUCGCCACAGCCAAAGCCCCACUAAAAGGGCAUAGAUGUCAGUAUCAACAAGAGGAGUGGAUUUCCAAGAGCUACGGAUGCCAGAAUUAGUGGCUGCCAUUCGUAGACAUUUAAAACUUAAUUGGAAAAUACAACAAAGGGAGGAUGAAAUGAGAUGAUCCAACUCAUCUCAAAGAAAUGACAGGCCAGGUGUGGUGGCUCAUCCGUGUAAUCCCGGCACUUGGGAGGCUAAGAUGAGCGGACCACCUAAGGUCAGGAGUUUGAGACCAAUCUGGCCAACACGGUGAAAACCCAUCUCUACUAAAAAUACAAAAAUCAGCCAGGAGUGGUGGUGUGUGCUUUUAAUCCCAGCUACUCAGAAGGCUGAGGCAGGAGAAAUGCUUGAACCCGGAAGGUGGAGGUGGCAGUGAGCCAAGAUCUUGCCACUGCACUCCAGCCUGGUGACAGAGUGCGAGUCUGUUUAAAAAAAAAUUCCAGAAUGAAAACAGAGAGGACCCAGGAUCCUUUAGAGUCAGGAGGCACAAUCCCCAAGACAAUAAAUCCAUCCGUACCUAGAUCCA